rnacentral:lncRNA from 1 species
ACUCGGACGCGCAGUCACUAGACAUGAGAGAUGACGGUGGUGGUAGCAGUAAUGGAGCAUUUGCCUUUAGGCCUCUUUUAACUUUCACAACAGCCUACAAGACAGCCAGAUUGGACCUGCUCAGCUCCAGGUGAAAUGGACAGAAAGCCCAUCCCUGCCCGGUCUGAGGAUUGGGAAGCCUUCCUGGAGGAAAACACGCUUAAUUGGAGACCUGAAAGAGGAC